rnacentral:lncRNA from 1 species
UUGCCUCCAAGGUUUUCUCCAAAAUUUUGUCAUUCCCUCUCUAAAGUUUGCCGUCUUCCACUCUCCAUUUUUUUUUUCUUUUUUUCUUUUUUUUAAAUGAAGAAUCAUAUUUUCAUUCUGUAAUUGGGAAAUCAAAACUCUUCCCUUAGAAAAUCCAAAACUAUUUAUACAAUUUUAGGCAACUGCCUGCCGAUUUUGGUCAACCAUCGCUACGAUUCCGAUUGUGUUAUUGAUUGCUCCUGUUGCUGCCCUUCCGCCACCAGGAGUAGGGAUUGAUGCUGUAUGGAAAUGGAGUCGACCAACAACAACAAAAUCUAGAAUGUGGGCCUCUUACUAGUGACGACUCUGUUAGCGGAAAAACUGAUUUCAGCAUUAAUAAUGCCCAGAUCGAAGAAACGACGACAAUCUUUUUGGUAGGUGCUCGAUAGGCUGUUGCAAUUUUUGAAGGGGCCAGUGGUGCUGAGAGAAGAGUACCCAAAGCUUGGUAGCGUGUUCAGCCUGUCAUAGUUGCCAUGUGCCACAGUAAGAAUUGAUAGUUUGGGUUUAUAUUAAUUUGAUUCCAGCUUUCCUUAAUUUGAAUUUCUUUAUGAUUGGAUUUUGAAUUGUAAAUAUCAGCAUGAUAUUAUAGUUAUGGCCGAUAAUCUGUAUUAUACAAAAUACAGGAAUUAUUGCUAGGUGAAUUUCUCGUUUCCAAUUAGAGAUGACCAACAGAGUCCAUUUGAUUGGGCCCUUUGUUCCUACUUACAAAUGUCCAGUGGAGCAAUUGGAUCAAAUACAAACCUCAUGAGGCAAAGUAAAUUUAUUCCCAUUUAGAAUAAGCAUUGGAUGAAUAAUCUAUGAAAUGUUCAAAAUUUUGUUCUUUUUGAAAUAAUGCUUACAACUUAUUCAAAGCUUGUUGUUUCUUAAAUAUAAGUGUUCCAUUUGCACUGUUUUUGUACAUAAUGAGGGAUGGAUAUCAUUCUAUAACAUCAUUACAAAAGAACUAUGCAGAUUGAAUGAGGAAUUUUUCUUGCACUUGAAAGAUGGACUGGGGAAACUAAGGUUUGCCGUGUAAAAGACUAAGGUUUGUCUUUAUAAUUUUUUGAUUUGGUUUUUGUGAAAUGAAUGAGAAGAAGCAAGCAUCUACAGUGAUUUUGUUUGUAGGAAAUGGAAGACAGAUUGAUAGAACUAGAAGAACUCCAAAAGGCUCUGCAGGAAGGAACGGGUUUUGUCAAACACCCUAAACUUUUCAGCCAAAACAUUUCUAUUACAAUUUGUACUCUAUAAGACCCCAACCUAUCUAUGUCGUUCUCUACAGAAGUCUAUUAUAAAAUGCAAGAUGAACUCGUAAACGCGAGGAAGAACUUAAUGAAAAUUUUGACAUCAGAUAAUGUCAAGACUACUGUAUGAUACUUUUCUUAGCUCAUUACAUCAUAGUAUUGCGUUUCCUGAUUUUCA